rnacentral:tRNA from 1 species
GCCUUCUUAGCACAGUGGUAGUGCGUGUCCUUCGUAAGGAUGAGGUCGGGAGUUCGAUCCUCCCAGAGGGCA